rnacentral:lncRNA from 1 species
AUUUCUAGAGCAUUUAGACCUAUUUCUAGAGAUCUACCAUGAGAGGGAGUAGCAAGCUUACCUCUCAAGCUAGCCCAAUGGAGAGGAAGAAGAUGAGAAGAUGAAGCUCCACCUUGCUCUUCUUCUUCUCCACCAUCUCCUUCUCCUCCUUCUUCUUCUUCUUCUUCCCCUUCUUUUCUUUCUAGAGAGAGAGAGGGAGGGUUUUGGGGUUGAAACGGUGAGGGAAAGAGAGAGAGAGAGGUUCUACUCCUCUCUAUACACUUAACCCAUGUAACAUUUGCAAGAAAACCCCUCAACAAAGCCUCUCUUGCAACAGCCCGAACUGGGCAUUUUCGGGGUUCGGGGAUCGGUCUCUGCAUGAGGGACCGGUCUCUGAGAGACCGGUCUCUUUGCCUGGGACCGGUCCCAGAGAGACCUCCAGCCCAGACUUAGCCAAUUUUCAGCUUCGUCCGUUUUCGCUCCAUUUUCGCUCGUUUUCGUUCGUUUGACCUCCGAUUCGUCUCAAAUCGAACCGAGACUCUCCAAACAUGUUUUCAAACAUGUUUUCAUCAUCUUUCCAUCCUUGCUAUGCCGGAUUUAGCUCAUGGCCCAACCUAGCCUUUUGGGUUCCGUUUCCGCACCUACGCGCACCGAAACGCCCGAUAGCUCCCGAACUUCACCGAACUUCACCGGAACCAUUCAAAUAGCUCUCCAAUCGAAUGUACACCGUAACUUAAUAGUUUUAGAAGUCCGGUACCUUACAUCCUCCCCUCCUUAGAAGAGUUUCGUCUCCGAAACUAACUCACUUCAACCCAAUUAAUACUCCAAUUCGCUUUAUCGAGCGAUCGAAGAUUCCAAUGCACUUUUCCAUCUCGGAGUGGCCUUUUACUCAUUAGAAUCACCCAAUGGCCCACUACGAAGGAUGUGAGACUAGAUUCACUCACAUUUGCUAAGCGAAACUCCGAAAGUGCAUUACGAGUCUCCGUCAUCCUUGGUGGUGCGCAAGUCGAAGCUCAACGACUCUACGCGCUCCAACACCAUUCACCAUCUGGCAUGCAAGAACUCUUCUCUGCAUCCCACACCUUGUCAGGGAACACACUCCGAUUAAAUUACCGGCAUUGCUUAGAAGCAAUAUCAUUGGUGCAUUGACCCAUCGCGAGUGCUCCAAUCACAUUUGGACCUUGCUCUACCGCGAGAUGGCCUACCCCGGCAUAUCUCGAUUCUUAAUCCACAAGAGAGCAUUGUCCACAACUCCAUGUGGCUAUUCGGUAUUCAAGUGUCUCCAGGAGACCACUUUCCCUUAUCUCUCAAUGGCCACUUCUAAUCUCAAAUCGCUCAACCACGAGAUGGCCUACCGCGGCACAUCUCUCGAACUUCAAUCCACGAAAGAGCGUUAUCUCCAAGUUUUCCAACAUAACCCAGCCUGCCUGGGCAAGUUUCAUGCUCGGGGACCGGUCUCUCCCUGCCUGGGACCGGUCCCAGAGGGACCUCCUCAAUCUCACGUGUUCGGGAACCGGUCCCUCUGGCCUAGGGACCGGUUGCCUCGCGCUUGCCACAGCCCUCAGCCUCGGGGCAACCGGUCCCUCCCUCCUGGGACCGGUCCCCGAGAGCAAGCUCGCGUAGACAACGUUCGGGAACCGGUCCUUCCCUCCUGGGACCGGUCCCCGAGAGCAAAUCUGCCAAGUGCAGAUUCUUGCACCAUUUGCUCUCGCGGACUCCUUUGCAAUGCACUUUUGGUGCAUUCGACUUCCUCGGCUUUUACGAAGCACUCCCACUCGACAAUUAGUUGAUCUUGAGCGAAGUCCAACUCCCGCAUUUUGAGAAUUCACUUCUCUAUUCCAACUCCUCCACGGAGUUAUCGGCUAAACCAAGGUUUUAAGUGCCUAUCGGCACGCACCGUAUCCACCGUACCGUACCGUGCCAACAAGAUAACGGCACGAUACAGACCCCGUGCCAAUGGCACAGCUCAAAACCCUCUAUUUUUUAAAUUAGUAAGUAAUUUCCUCAAUAAAGUUCAAAAGAUGUGAUAAAAAGACAUAAUAAAUAGUUAGAAUAUUUUGUUGCUAAAGAAAAUAAAUAUUUCAUGCUAUUAUGUGUCGGCACACAAGAUUAUUUUUGACCGGCACGCAUCGGCACGGCUCGGCACGCACCGUGCCAUACCGUGCCGGCAAGUUUCCGACACGACCCCGUGCCACGGCACUUAAAUCCUUGGGCUAAACCGAUUACGUCGGCUUCCACAGGUGGACCAACGGUCACCAACACCACGUAGGCCUACUGCCAAAACCCGUCGCAACUACGCAUAGCGUCUCUCGCUCGCAUCGUAGACCUAAUCAUCAUCAGGCGACAUUCUCAUUGGAGAAUUCGCACUGUCACGCCCCGAGACCGCUACCAAUUUGGCUCGGCCCGGGCGCGUCAAACAGACGCCGAACGGAUAGGACUUCCCCUGUCCGUCCAAGGCUAACCAACAGAUCGUGCAUAAGAAUUUACCCAGGAAUCAAUUCAUAAAUACACGAUCAGUAAGCACCACUAGUGCUAUAAACAAGAGCAAGAUAUAAGUAUAGAAACAUAUACAAGUACAUAAGAGAGAAGAGACUAUCUAUUACAUUCAUUUGAUUUACUACAUUUAGAUACAUCUUUUACAUUCUUCCAAAAUAUAAAUACAAGCACUCAACCCUCACCCUAUACAACAUCUACUCUCAAAUACAAAAGGGGUGACGGCUAAUGCAAGAAAAGGAGGUAGCUAAUGCGACUAGAACGCCGGGCCCUUACCGCGAUCCUCACGCUCACCGGGGAUACCCGAACUGGAACCUGUGGUAAAAAUGGGGGUGAGAACUAACUUCCUUAGUUCCCAGUGGGUUCGGCCGCCGACUCCGCCGAUCUCCCCACUAGGUCCAAGCGGGCACAAGUAGAUAUACCAAUAGAUGGAUAGAUAGAUAAGGAAGCUGUAAAUGACGGAAAUGAAGCUAUUCUACUAUGCCCAAUCAUAGAUAUAUGAAUGCAUGUCCAAUGAAUUGGUACGCAACUAUCCUGUCAUCAUGUCCAAAGGUGAAGCUAUUCACUCGUUCAUUAACCUCAUUUACUUGUUCAUUAAUCUCAUGGCUUACCCGAAGGCUCGCCUACAGCUCACUAGCCAUCUCGACACGUAGGGAGAAUCAACUCACACUACGGACCCGAGACCGUCUGGCGGGGCCAUAUAGGCAAUCCCUGGCGUGACCAACAUCCGGAGCGCACUACUUGUGUGGGGCUUCCAUCACAAGAUUUAACAGACCGUGAGCAUGAUCCAAUCCUCUAAGCUCGAGGAUACCCUGUCCUCUAGGGUCACAACCAUCACAUAGUCCAUAGGUUUCGCAUACACUAUGACUCAUAGGUAUCAUUGUUCUUUUGCUUACUAUCAACCAAAUGCCACUCGUUUAUUUGUUUACUAUUGACUAGAUGCCACUCGUUCAUAGUUCAUCAUUUUCUCUACAUUAUAGGAUUCACAAUCUCGACCCAAUCCUUAUCAAUCCAAUAUAUCAAAUAUCCAAUGUACGCUACGAUACCAUCAAGGAAAAACAUAAGGAAAGGCAAUGCAUACUAAUCCUAUAAUGCAAUAACACAAGAUGCAAGGUCGAAAUGUACUAAGACAUAGGAGGGAGCCCGAUUGCUUCGGGAUGGACACCACCCACCUCUUGGCGACGCCGCGAUGAUAGAAAACCCGACGUCGCGGUUCUUGCACGCCGCCUAAACUCCUCGGGGCAAAGCGAGCCCUCGAGUACCCGAUUCGGCGAUAACUCCGCACCCGCUUGUCGGAUCGGCAAACCGUCUUCGCCGACGCGUUUUGAGACCUAGCAAUUUGGUUUACGACCUAUUAAAAUAGAUCAAAACCCUAAAUUUCCCAAAACCCCAAUCCGUGCCCUAGAAUGGCAACGAGAGGGAAAUCCACGGUGCGAGCUUCGAUUGCGAGCUCGAACCUUCCAUUUAUCCCUAAUAGGUUCCAUUUGAACCAAUUCUAAACCCUAAAACCCAAAACCCUAGAAACACCAUUAAAGGGUUUAGAGCUUACCCCUUUACAAGGUUUCUUCAAGCUUGAGGGAGAGGGAGAGAAGAAGAUGUCUUCUUCUUCUUAGUCUUCUCCUUCUCUUUCUUCUUCUUUCUUCCCUUCUUCUCCUUCCUCUUCUUCUUCUUCUUCUUCUUCUCUUUCUUUUCUUUUCUUUCCUAGAGAGAGAAAGGGAAAGAGUGUGAGAGAGAGAGAGGGAGAGCAGCUGAGAGAGAGUGAGAGGGGUCCCCCACCUCUAAUAAAGGCCAUUUUGCAAAUAGCCCCCUCAACUUUUCACCUUUAUGAUCAGCCCUCUCUGGGCAUUUUCGCAGCGAGGGACCGGUCCCAGCUCGGGGAGACCGGUCCCCGAAAGCUGCCAUUUCGAGCAGAGGGGAUUUCGCGUUCGGGAACCGGUCCUUGCCCUGAGAGACCGGUCCC